ACUCGGUCGUCGUCAUUCAGCCCACACUGUGCUCAGUGCUUCUCGCUCAUUCCACAUCUCCCGAGUCAUCAGAUAUACCAUGAAAUACCAACUGCAACGCCAUCUGCCGGGCUGAUUUGUGAAUAGUAACCAUUUGGGGCGUCACAAAAAUGCAUGUAAAGAAAUUCCUUCGAAUCUGUCCAACCACUAAGGAAAAAUUCAGUGACGUAUGGUAUAGCAGUAUAUAGAGAGAUAAAUUUUAUACUAUUUUAAUAACUAUGAAAGUGUAUUAUUCAACUUAAUGUAUUUAUUUUAUUAUCCAUUCUUUUACACUGUAUCUUGUCAGUAGGAGAUUGUUCACAGCAAUAGCCUUUGCAUAUAUUCUGCGUGCACUAUUCUCUUUUGUUUGUGUACCUAUAUUAAUAUAUUUAACUAUAUGUGAAUAACCCUGUGGAAACGGUCUCAUAAAUUCUCAUAACUGAUAGAUUCUUAUAGAAAUCUGUAUCAGAAAAUUUUUUCAAUCUUAUAAAUAUUUUUUUAACUGAUAAAUUCUGAUACCCAGUUAGCUGUUUUGUAUCAGAAUUUAUAAUACUUUUUCCACAGGGAAAUAAACGGUAAAGGGUAGAGGCGAAUAAAGAUUUUUUUAUACAUA